UGUUGUUGUUUAGGCGUUUAGUCGUGUCCAACUCUUCGUGACCCCAUGGACCAGAGCACGCCAGGCACUCCUGUCUCCCACUGCCUCCCGCAGUUUGGUCAAACUCAUGCUGGUAGCUUCGAGAACACUAUCCAACCAUCUCGUCCUCUGUCGUCCCCUUCUCCUUGUGCCCUCCAUCUUUCCCAACAUCAGGGUCUUUUCCAGGGAGUCUUCUCUUCUCAUG